GUACAACCUUUUUUAUCUAGGGACUAGAGAUGAAUCUAUCCCUAUUGCGGUCGUACUAUGGGAUGGGAUUUUUAUAUUGACGUGAUCAAUAAACAUAAACUCUUUUCUGAAUGUACACGUGUCCUUCACCCUAAGACUUGUCUACUCAUACUAUAGAGAGCAUAUGACUCCUUUUGGGGUGUACAAAUGUCCAUCUAAGGGCUUGUCUAUUUAUAUUGCAUCAAUCAUUAAUAUCAAAAUGAUUUGAAUGAUUCUGACUGGUUUGUUUGAGACAAGCAGGUUUACUGACUGACUUAUUUUUUAACGACCUACUUAUUAGGGGUACUUUAACUCAAGUGAGUUGGAGGGAAACAUAAACUAUGCCUGGAUAAUACAAUACUUCUAAACCAUGCUUUCGUGAGCCGUAUAUAGGACAAUUAACAAAUGUGAUGGCCUUACAAAAGAAUUUUGUUUCCUACAUAUGUGCGUCCCAGUUGCCUCGGGGAUGUUUCAUUAUAGCUGACCUCUUUGGUAUGAACGAAUGUUGUCAAAGGGAUUCCUAUCGAAUAUAGCUAAUAGUUAUUACCUUUUUUCGUCGUGUGGGCUAGAUAACUAUUUUCGGUAUAGGAGAUUAGUUGUACAACCUCUUUUAUCUCAGGACUAGAGGUGAGUCUGUGCCCAGUGCGAUUGUACUAUGGGAUGAGGUUUUUAUAUUGACAUGACCAGCGAACAUUCGAUUCUUUUCUGAAUGUACACGUCCUUCACCCAAGGACUUGUUUACUUAUAUUGUAGAGUGCAUAUGUAAC
rnacentral:misc_RNA from 1 species